CCUUCUCACACCCUCUAGGGUAUGGUGAUGGGUGAUACUUUGAGCAAUCAAAGUUCACUUGAAAUGUAUUGGCAUGAGUUUUUGUUUACUGAAAGCACUUGUUUAUCAAUGUAUUAGGUUUAUUCCAUCGUUGAAUUAGCAGUUGUAGCAAGUAGCAAAAUUUUGGCUCUGCCUAACAAACUUUUUUAAUCAUAAAGU
rnacentral:rRNA from 1 species